rnacentral:rRNA from 1 species
UACGAAGGGGGCUAGCGUUGCUCGGAUUGACUGGGCGUAAAGGGCGCGUAGGCGGUUCGUACAGUCAGACGUGAAAUUCCUGGGCUCAACCUGGGGGCUGCGUUUGAUACGUGCGGACUUGAGUGCGGAAGAGGGUCGUGGAAUUCCCAGUGUAGAGGUGAAAUUCGUAGAUAUUGGGAAGAACACCGGUGGCGAAGGCGGCGACCUGGUCCUUGACUGACGCUGAGGCGCGAAAGCGUGGGGAGCAAACAGG